CCUACGGGUGGCAGCAGUGAGGAAUAUUGGUCAAUGGUCGGGAGACUGAACCAGCCAAGCCGCGUGAGGGAUGAAGGUACAGAGUAUCGUAAACCUCUUUUGUCAGGGAACAAAGGCGGGGACGUGUCCCCGGAUGAGUGUACCUGAAGAAAAAGCAUCGGCUAACUCCGUGCCAGCAGCCGCGGUAAUACGGAGGAUGCGAGCGUUAUCCGGAUUUAUUGGGGUUAAAGGGUGCGCAGGCGGUCUGUUAAGUCAUCGGUCAAAGCCCGGGGCUCAACCCCGGCCCGCCGUUGAAACUGGCAGUCUUGAGGUUGAGAGAAGUAUGCGGAAUGCGCGGUGUAGCGGUGAAAUGCAUAGAUAUCGCGCAGAACUCCGAUUGCGAAGGCAGCAUGCCGGCUCCACACUGACGCUGAGGCACGAAAGCGUGGGUAUCGAACAGGAUUAGAUACCCCUGUAGUC
rnacentral:rRNA from 1 species